rnacentral:lncRNA from 1 species
UUCUGGGUCAGCAGGGCUGUGCAUACGGUCUCUCAGCAUCUCCCCGAAGUGCUUGUUCCUGACAGGCUACUGCUCGGCACUGCACUGUGAGUGAUGAGCUGAGGAGGUUGCUCUGACAAGAUGGAGGAACUGAGGCAGGAUUCUCUGCUCCAUGGAUCCACUGUACGGCGUCUGCAAAGGCCCAUGGAGAUGGAGAACACACUGGCAGCGAACAUGGGAGAGAGCAAAACUCCGCCUGGUGACAUGUGGAAGCCAGAGACCACAAAGGAGCCAAAGCAGACAACAUUGCCAAAGCUACCAUCCGCCUGAGCAUCGUGGGAUGGAAUGGAGGCAAACCAGGGACUCCAAGCAACCUCGGUGGGCACACUGUGAAUUCCUAUAUGGUUGAAAGGAAGUCUGCAGUCCUCUCCCAACAGUCUGUGGGUCUGUCUGUCUAUCUGUCUGUCUAUAAGCAUGCGUGCUUUCUGUGUCAGCCUCAGAACCUCACUUCUCAGGCAAGCAUCCCAGCACCUGAGAAACAACUUGAGAUCCUCCACCUGUCUCAGGUCAGCCACGUCUCCCAUCUCUGUCUGAAAUGACUCCAGCCCUGCCGUGUCCCUUGAGUGAAGUCUGGAAAGAAACUAGGCUGAGAGUGGCCAGCUCAGCUCCCUACACUUCUGACCUGCAGGCUGUCAUAGAAAACAAUGGUUCUUAUAAUCAAUUACUAAAUUUUGGAAUAUUUUCUUUAACUGGGAAAAAAAUUCAAAUGCAACUAUCAAAAAUGGACCAUAUAGCAGAGGACGAUGUGGAAUGUGGUUAGGAAAUGGGGAUUUCAACAUGAAUUCCAGGGAUCAAACUUGGGCAGUCGGGCUUGCAAAGCCAAUAGCACCUUUGGUAGCUAAGCUACCCCCUACUCUUUCUCAUUUGUGCUGAAUUCAGUGUGUUGUUUGGGAUUAAAUUUUUCCCCACUUAAUGUGUAAUUGUGCAUACAUAUAUAAAUACAUGUGACUUUACAUAUGUAUGAAUAUGUAUAUAUUUAUAUAUAUUUAAAUAUAAGUAUAUAUCCUGAACGAAAUGCUAUAGGCUCCAUAGCUUUUCAAUGAAUGAAUUU